rnacentral:rRNA from 1 species
CCUACGGGAGGCAGCAGCAGGGAAUCUUGCGCAAUGGGCGAAAGCCUGACGCAGCGACACCGCGUGGGGGAAGAAGGCUUUCGGGUUGUAAACCCCUUUUCUCGGGGAAGAGUAAGGACGGUACCCGAGGAAUAAGCCUCGGCUAACUACGUGCCAGCAGCCGCGGUAAGACGUAGGAGGCGAGCGUUGUCCGGAUUUACUGGGCGUAAAGGGCGAGUAGGCGGCCCGCCAAGUCUCAUGUGAAAUCUCUCGGCUCAACUGGGAGGGGUCAUGGGAAACUGGCGGGCUCGAGGGCAGUAGAGGAGAGUGGAAUUCCCGGAGUAGCGGUGAAAUGCGUAGAUACCGGGAGGAACACCCGAGGCGAAGGCGACUCUCUGGGCUGCACCUGACGCUGAGGCGCGAGAGCAUGGGGAGCGAACCGGAUUAGAUACCCGGG